GAGAGAAAGCAGCCAACCACACUUGAGAGGCAAAGCGCUGGCGAGUUAAUGCGCGUGCGUAGUGUGUUUCCGCUGUUUUUCCGGUCUGCGAUCUCAGCUGCCGGGUGUGACAAAAGCGAGCAGGAGGCGGAAGGAAGGAGGAAGGUUCCUGAAGGUGGGAGAGCGAGUUUUCUAGUGGAGUGAAAGACAGGGUGGUAGAAGUUACUGGCGGAAAAUGUUGAGAGAAAACAGGGAAGGCGGGAGAAAACGAAACAAGUCCUAAGGGUCACAGAGGCUGAGAGAAAGCCUAUGGAUAAAGUUUAGUUAGACAAAAAAAAAUGAGUUACAUCCAGAUGACCUUGGGAAUACAUGGACAUAGAGAGUUCAACACCUCAUAAAGACUCCUAUUAGGAUCUGGAGAAACUGAAUUUGCACUUUCCUGUGAAUGGCCCGCGGAAAAUACUACUUUUAACUUAAUAUGCUACCAGUUAUAGACCAGUGACCUCCACAACUCCAUUUGCCUUAGAGAUCAAGUUGGGGAUAAUUUCAGCAAUCUCCAAAUUAUGAAUCAGCUUUGGGUCCAAUCAAAUGACAGAUCUUAUCAGCUGAGGAAUUUGUCCUGAUGUCUGGAUUUUAGCUGAGUUUGGUGUCCAGACAAUAGAGAACUGAAAAAAGGAAGAGACAGAGAACACUGAUGGAUAAAAUUCUGAAGAAGUCUCCAAGCAGUGGGAUACCACUGAAUUGGUUGAAAGCUGUUUUGACAUCUGGAUUUGGUGACAGACAGCUGAGAGCGGUAGAAUUGACUUACUCACCAGGAAGAAUUCUGAUUAAUGAACUUCAAGUAAGGACUAAUUUCCAGAUGACCAUCUGUGCCAUCACUAGAACCUAAAAGUUCCCAUUUAUUAUUAAUGUCAAGUUGAGGGUGGAAGGAGAAAUUUACUCUGAAGCAACAAAAACCAUUUUAAUCUCUCCUUCCAAGAGUUUUGACAAAGGAUUUCUCAGUGUCUUAAGGAUUUCAAAUAUUGAGGGUUUGAUCUCGCCUCAUGACAACAAGCUCAGUGUUUUUACUGCCUGACUGAACUACUUCCAGAAGGAUCUUGAUAACCAGCUUGAUGCUUCUCUGGUAUAUAAUGGAACCCAUACAAGGUUAGAACUAUUUAGUAAUGGAUCCAUAAGUGACUAUAGCACCAGCCCCAUUAAGAUGAUGAGAUUGGUCUUCAGCUUGAGGUUGCUAACCAUCUACCAGCCCCAUGGUACCUAAUAAUUGAUUUUAACAAUGCAAUUUGAUUAUUCAACUUGAUUAUUCAGUUUGAUUGAGAAAGAAUGACUUUAGUGGUUAAGUUUCCCUUUCCAAUUAUGCCAGAUUUACCCCUGUGGAAUUGCAGAAAUCUCUCAGAAUGAUAACAUUUGUCAAAUGAGACAGUACAGUCAUUUAGCAAUCAUUCACAGUAUCCACUGAGCACCACGUGCAAGAUAAUCAAGUAGAAAUUGAUUGUGUCUCAUAUUUGCACAGUACUUAGAUUUUGUAGAACACACCAAACCUUUUCUUACCUGAUCCUAAAAAUAGGUUGGUGAAGUGAGCUUGGAAGAGAUUCCCAUUUUAUAGAUGAAGAAACAGAGGCCAGAUUUGAAUCUUUUGCCCUAACUCAAACCAGUAGUAAAUGGUAAAGUUGGGACUAGGACUUAGCUGAUUAUAUUUGAGAACUGUUUCCAGCAUUCCUCUCUGUCAUAAUUUCUACUGACUUCAUGAAGAGGCUUUGGUAGGGAAGCUGGAGAAAACCUGAGGAAUGGAAAGGAGACACCUCUGGGAUGGGGAGAACAAAGGAGGGCACUUUUUAAAAGGAGAGGCUAGUACAGCUGAGACUCCUUCUUUUACCAACUUCCCAACAUGGGCCAGCCCUCCAUGAGUAGGUACAUUUCCAGCUCAGAUUCUAUACCUUCUUCUAUCGCUCCUACCCUUUUUUUCUGUGUCCCUGGCCACAAAAGACCCUGACCAAUAGAAAAAAGUUACAAAUUAUGAGAUCUCACUUGUCAAGGAACACUAUAAAAAUCUGUGGUGCAUUAGCCUUGGGAAGAGAGUUUUCCUUCAUUUUCAGAAUAACUCUGUGAACCUCCCCCUCUGAUCUGCAAACACAGCAGUCUCUUUAAGACCAGGGAUUUCUUUGGCGUGUGUUGAAAGGACAACAAAGACUAGAAAAAUGUGCCCACUGAUUCUGAGCAAAAUCACAGCCUGAAAGUCACAGCCUCCCUGCUAGUAUUUUAUAUUCUUAAUGUUUGCUGUGGUGUUUGGGAAUAAUUCACUAAGACUUUAUUAGAUUUACAUAAAAACAAUAGGCUUUCUGAAAUCGCAGGUGAGGAGUGGGUGGGAGGAAGGAGGUGAUGAGAGCAAGGCUGUCCACGUAACACAGUGUCAGCCAAAAGAGAAAAGCAAUGCACCUCCUCUGCCUAGUUUUCUAGAGCAGCCCAACACCCAGUGUUGGCCAAGGAAAAAAACAAAGGGGUGAAAACAAAGAGACACCCAUGUCUUUUACAGGAGAAAAGAGAGAAGGUAAAAAUUCUGCUAAAUAAUUUUAAGAAUAUUCUGUCAGCCUGAAGAAAGAGAAGCUCUCUGUGUACAAAUCGUUGGGCUUACCUUCACUGAGCACGCUUGUCAGACGGUGGUUCUUCCCAUGUGUCUCUCUUGGGAAAAUGUUUGCACACUGGUGGUUGCCAAGCUUCAUCAGCACAUUGUGGUAGCUACACAGAGACAUUUCAUGAGUCUGACGACCUGCUUUGACUUCAGGGUAUUCGUUUUUACCCAGAACACUUCUGCACAUCAUCAUAUGGCUCUGUCUCUUACUACAUCCUGGCCUUGGCUCAAAGUCAGCAACCUUCAAUGGCAAAAAAUUUCUGUUGUCAAUUUAUCCUGCUUUUUUUAGUUGGUUGGUGAGUUUUGUUGUCGUUGUUUUGCACAUAUCUGGAAACCUUCCUGGACCAGACGAUGCUUGAGUUGGAUAUUGAAGGAUGAAAGAGCAGGUAAGAAAGGGGGAGAAGAGAAUCCCAGGCCAAAGGACUGGCAUGUACAAAGGCUCAGCAUCAAGAAAUAGAAUGUCACCUUGGAGAAAGGUAGGUGGUUUCCCUGGAGUAAAGGGUGUGGUGUGGGUGAAUAGGAGAAAGGAAGCUAGGGAGGAAGACAGGGCUGUCUGUGGUUACAUGAAUAAUGGUACCCAUUGACCCUGCUGCUCUUGCCCACAUUUGCCAGCAGCCCAGGCUUUGUCCUUCAUUCAGAGGAGCCAGUCUCAGAUUUCAUGUUUUAUAGUGGCAUGUCUCAACCUUUUUCUCCUAUUGUCACUCCACCCAAGGAAUCUAUUUAAAUAUUGUUUCUAUACGACUCCCUAUGAAACUUUAAUACCACACAUAUGCUGUAUAUCUGUUUCUCUACUGUAUAUGCCUAUCUGUGCUUUAUACAUAAAAAUAGGAUUUUCUCCUCCUGAGAGCCAGUUUUCACUUCUGUUGAGAAUGUAUGUUUUAUAAUUUUCACUGACAACAUGGUUUUGUCUCUGUCUUGUCUCCUACCUCUAUCUCUCAAACAUACAGUUUCCAGGGAGCAUGUGAAUCCCACAGAAUACCAUAUACGUGACAGUAAUUGAGCCAUCAUUGCAGAGUAGUAACUAAACUCACACAAAAUGAGUGAUUUUUCUUUCCUCCCUUACUAGUUCUUCCCUAUCCCUCAUAUAUGGACCACUUAAUUCUACAUCCAUGCUUCUAAGUGGGCAUUGGAGACUGAAACAUUCCAAGGAAUGUCAUAUAUCUGAUUCUUAGAGUUCUGCCUUCAGGGUUAACUCAUUUAUUCAGAUGCUACUUAUCCUCUAGUCACUCCUCUGUUUCCUUCCCAGCCCCACCAGGGAAGCCAGCUGAAGGCACAUGCACAGAGCAUGGGAAGAAAGCGAAAAGGCCUCUGAGCAACUUGCUUGAAAUACUACUCUGCAGCAAAGCUUGUUCAUUUUUUUAGAAAAUCAGUGUUUCCAAGUGUUGAAUGUAAAUAUUGAAUUGCUAAAUUGUGCCCUUGAAACUAAUAUUGCACCGUAUGUUAACAUAGGAAUUUCAAUAAAAG